rnacentral:rRNA from 1 species
GAUGAACGCUAGCGGCAGGCUUAACACAUGCAAGUCGAGGGGCAGCGCAGGAUAGCAAUAUCCUGGCGGCGACCGGCGGAAGGGUGCGUAACGCGUGAGCGACAUGCCCGUUGCCCGGGGACAACCGGUGGAAACGCCGACUAAUCCCCGAUGGGAUACGAUGCUUCAUGGCAUUGUAUUGAAAGUUACGGCGGCGACGGAUUGGCUCGCGUCCGAUUAGCUGGUUGGCGGGGUAGCGGCCCACCAAGGCUGCGAUCGGUAGGGGUUCUGAGAGGAAGGCCCCCCACAAUGGGACUGAGACACGGCCCAUACUCCUACGGGAGGCAGCAGUGAGGAAUAUUGGUCAAUGGGCGGAAGCCUGAACCAGCCAUGCCGCGUGCGGGAAGGAGGCCCUAUGGGCUGUGAACCGCUUUUGCCUGGGGGCAAUAAGGGCGUCGCGCACGUCCGAUGAGAGUACCAGGCGAAUAAGCAUCGGCUAACUCCGUG